GCCGCCGCACUUUCAAUACUUAUACCGGUUGUACUAUACCGGUUGUAAUUUUCAGGGGAGGACUCCGAGGACGUGUCAGCUGCCGGGCAAAUGACAACUCUACUUGGAAUUCGAACAGCGAAGAAAGUAACUGAAGCUAUGAUGAAAUGCUGGGCGUCGCAGUUCAGCUUCAAUAACCAGAACUACAAGAAGCAAUACGGCCAACUACUAAACGUGCCCAUGGCGGUCGUCAUCCAAGAAAUGGUUGACGCGAGCGCGGCUGGAGUGAUGUUCA